GUCUUUUCCAAACACAACAAGCUCACCGCCACACACUGCCCUUCCUGUGACUUUGAAUCCAGAGACCACCAGGCCCAAAAGCCACCUGGAGGAUUUCUGUCUCUGUGGUGGUCAGAAGGGCUGAGAGCAGAACGCAGGCCAGAAGACGAUGUCAGAACCCCCUAGAACUGGAGUUACAGACAGGUAGGGAACCCACAACAGACCAAAGCAUGGAUGCUACCCAAGCCCAACAUGGUGAACCGAUGAACCUCCAAAGCACACCCCAGACACGGGUGACAUCUCACAGAAGCUGGGAACCUGAGCACAAGACACAGCUUCUGUGAGCUCAGCAGGUUGUUCACAGACCAGACAACAAAAGGUUCAUCCUCCUGUCUGACCGUCAUCCAUGUAAUCAUCAGCAAGACCACGCUCCAGUUUGGACUUCCUGGAUUUAGAGCAUAUGAGGAGGUCAGCCCGGGUCCAUAGCUGGGCCCACCUGCCUGCUUCUCUACCAGUGUCACAACAAUACAGGACUCAGUCGUGAGGACACCCCAGCCUAUCUGCCCAUUGCUCCACACAGCCACUGCCUCCAGGAGUUGAACACCUGUGACAGAGCCAAUUAUCUAGGGAUAGAGGAGUCAGGAGGCUAGGGUUGCCCUUGA
rnacentral:lncRNA from 1 species